CAGGAUGAACGCUGGCGGUCUGCUUAACACAUGCAAGUCGAACGCAACCUUCGGGUUGAGUGGCGGACGGGUGAGUAACGCGUGAGAAUCUGCCUUGGGGUCGGGGACAACCACUGGAAACGGUGGCUAAUACCGGAUAAGCCUUUGGGUAAAAAAUUUAUUGCCCCAAGAGGAGCUCGCGUCUGAUUAGCUAGUUGGUGAGGUAAGAGCUCACCAAGGCAGCGAUCAGUAGCUGGUCUGAGAGGACGAUCAGCCACACUGGGACUGAGACACGGCCCAGACUCCUACGGGAGGCAGCAGUGGGGAAUUUUCCGCAAUGGGCGAAAGCCUGACGGAGCAAGACCGCGUGAGGGAGGAAGGCUCUUGGGUUGUAAACCUCUUUUCUCAGGGAAGAAGCUCUGACGGUACCUGAGGAAUCAGCCUCGGCUAACUCCGUGCCAGCAGCCGCGGUAAUACGGAGGAGGCAAGCGUUAUCCGGAAUUAUUGGGCGUAAAGCGUCCGCAGGUGGCGAUUCAAGUCUGCUGUCAAAGCACGGGGCUUAACUCCGUUAAGGCAGUGGAAACUGAAUAGCUAGAGUGCCGUAGGGGUAGAGGGAAUUCCCGGUGUAGCGGUGAAAUGCGUAGAGAUCGGGAAGAACCAUCGGUGGCGAAAGCGCUCUACUGGACGGCAACUGACACUCAGGGACGAAAGCUAGGGGAGCGAAUGGGAUUAGAUACCCCAGUAGUCCUAGCUGUAAACGAUGGAUACUAGGUGUAGCUUGUAUCGACCCGAGCUGUGCCGAAGCUAACGCGUUAAGUAUCCCGCCUGGGGAGUACGCACGCAAGUGUGAAACUCAAAGGAAUUGACGGGGCCCGCACAAGCGGUGGAGUAUGUGGUUUAAUUCGAUGCAACGCGAAGAACCUUACCAGGGCUUGACAUGUCCGGAAUCCCGGUGAAAGCUGGGAGUGCCUUCGGGAGCCGGAACACAGGUGGUGCAUGGCUGUCGUCAGCUCGUCCCGUGAGAUGUUGGGUUAAGUCCCGCAACGAGCGCAACCCUCGUCUUUAGUUGCCAGCAUUAAGUUGGGCACUCUAGAGAGACUGCCGGUGACAAACCGGAGGAAGGUGGGGAUGACGUCAAGUCAGCAUGCCCCUUACGCUCUGGGCGACACACGUACUACAAUGGUCGGGACAGAGGGCA
rnacentral:rRNA from 1 species